rnacentral:rRNA from 2 species
UCUUGACCUCGGAUCAGGUAGGGAUACCCGCUGAACUUAAG